UAGGGAAUAUUGGACAAUGGGUGAGAGCCUGAUCCAGCCAUGCCGCGUGCAGGAAGAAGGCGUUAUGCGUUGUAAACUGCUUUUUGCCAGGGGAUAAAAAGACCGUGCGCGGUUAAUUGAAGGUACCUGGUGAAUAAGCCACGGCUAACUACGUGCCAGCAGCCGCGGUAAUACGUAGGUGGCAAGCGUUGUCCGGAUUUAUUGGGUUUAAAGGGUGCGUAGGUGGCCCUGUAAGUCAGUGGUGAAAUAUCUCAGCUUAACUGAGAGGGUGCCAUUGAUACUGCAGGGCUUGAGUACAGAUGAGGUAGGCGGAAUUGACGGUGUAGCGGUGAAAUGCAUAGAUAUCGUCAAGAACACCGAUAGCGAAGGCAGCUUACCAAGCUGUAACUGACACUGAGGCACGAAAGUGUGGGGAUCAAACAGGAUUAGAUACCCCGGUAGUCCCUGAGCGGGCUGGCAAGGCGCAU
rnacentral:rRNA from 1 species